AAGCAAGCAAACAGUGCAGACGCGAAACCCAAAGAUUGCGAAAUAAGCUAAUUAAAACAGUAAAGCAAAAAUAACAUACAGCUCAAGAAAAAAAAAAACCUUCGCCAAGACUAUAAGAUCCGUCUUGGACGAUGACCUACUCCCAAAGUACAACCUAGACGGGACGAGCGGUAAAAAAAGCCUAAAAAGCUUUUCAAAGCUAUAUGGUAUUUUGAAAGAGGUCUCAGAAACGGCAUUUCCGCUGGAAGAUCCAGAGAAAAACAUAAGAAAGGCGAUACACAACGCCAAAAAUACAAUUUUUAAGAAAAAAAAUAGGAUUAGUGUGGGAGUGAUUUUGCGAGUAUCCCAUAUCCUGAAUUCCUUAUAAUCUCUAGACAACAAGACAAACGAAAUACUUACGACGAGGCAGAUGGCCGAAACGACGCAUUUCAAAAGACGACAUCGAAACGACAAAAAGAAGAGCCAAAGAUCCAAAAGGAGAUGAGGAGAUGAAGAUGAACACAACGAGACCAAACCCGAGCAAGAAGGGAGUGUUCGACGAGAUCUGGCCGAGAGAAGACGUGCUUUAUUGACGAAGAAAACCAAACGACGCGAUGACGAACCAGUUUUCCAAUUUAAUCAUUAUAAACCGUUUAUUAAAUAUUGUCUUUAAAUAAACGAAUAAUUUCACUAUCCUUUAAAAAUAAACAAACCCUACAUUAGUACUAAAUUUAACACUACAUUACAAUAAAAAGUGUGUGCGUACAAAGUACACAUGUCAGAAGUGAAA